UAAGUGAUCAUCAUAAUUAAAGGACAACUAGGCUAUAUCAGGGAAAAGACAUCGGCGCAGAGAAAAGACAAAGCCUGAGAUGAAGCCCGUGCAUCACUUUCAGGACAGAAGCUGUACAAGAGUGACACUGAACAAGUGAAGAAUGAAUAUCUCUGCUCUGUUGGUGUUUAUUUCUGCUGUCGUGUCUGUUUACUGCUAUUAUGAACUGCCCUGCUCUGACUGCAAUCAACCAUGUUCUCCUGAACUCUUGAGAAAUGCCACAGAACAAUUACUCGAGUACAUGAGCUUUGAAGACUGCAGACAGAACAAACACAUUUCUAAAUUAGCCAAUCCUACUUGGGAGUGCAAACAAAGCAAUUCGGGUUUGGAAUUAAACCCGGACGUCUUUAAUGCCACAUGUGGAAAUUGCAGAGAUCAAAAUUUCAAGGCAGUACCAAUUUUGCAAAAUAUCAACAUGGUUUUCAGACAGGUCUGCCCGAACAGAACUGACUAUUUUUUAGAAGUAAAACCAGUCACAAUCUCAUUAGGCUGUACAUGUGCAAAAUCACCUCACUAAAUAAUGCCUGCAUGCACUUGUGAUAAGCUCGGUAAUAUGUAUUCCAUCAUGUAUUCUUUUAUUUUUCAGUUGUAAAAGCCAAAUAUAAUGAAUAUCUAUAAAGAUCAGUGCUAUGGAUUAUUUGUUGUGUUUUUGACAAAAAUGCUCUUAAAUGUUUUUUUACAAUGCAUGUUUGUAAAAACUUUCUCAAAACCAUGUAUAUACAAUUAUGCAUUUAUUUGUGCUAUAUUAAUCUUCUUAUAGAAGUUAAUAAAACUUGUUCA